rnacentral:rRNA from 1 species
AUUGAACGCUGGCGGCAUGCCUUACACAUGCAAGUCGAACGGUAACAGGUCUUCGGAUGCUGACGAGUGGCGAACGGGUGAGUAAUACAUCGGAACGUGCCCGAUCGUGGGGGAUAACGAAGCGAAAGCUUUGCUAAUACCGCAUAAGAUCUACGGAUGAAAGCAGGGGACCGCAAGGCCUUGCGCGAACGGAGCGGCCGAUGGCAGACUAGGUAGUUGGUGGGAUAAAAGCUUACCAAGCCGACGAUCUGUAGCUGGUCUGAGAGGACGACCAGCCACACUGGGACUGAGACACGGCCCAGACUCCUACGGGAGGCAGCAGUGGGGAAUUUUGGACAAUGGGCGAAAGCCUGAUCCAGCCAUGCCGCGUGCAGGAUGAAGGCCUUCGGGUUGUAAACUGCUUUUGUACGGAACGAAAAGACACUUUCUAAUAAAGAGGGUCCAUGACGGUACCGUAAGAAUAAGCACCGGCUAACUACGUGCCAGCCGCCGCAGUAACAC